GGAGGGGGCCAGCGUUGUUCGGAAUUAUUGGGGCGUAAAGGGCGCGUAGGCGGCUCAGCAAGUCGGGUGUGAAAUCCCUCGGGCUUUAACCGAGGGAACUGCAUCCGAUACUGCCGAGCUUGAGUCCCGGGAGAGGAGAGUGGAAUUCCCAGUGUAGCGGUGAAAUGCGUAGAUAUUGGGAGGAACACCGGUGGCGAAGGCGGCUCUCUGGACCGGUACUGACGCUGAGGCGCGAAAGCCAGGGGAGCAAACAGGAUUAGAUACCCUGGUAGUCCUGGCUGUAAACGAUGGGCACUUGGUGUUGCGGGUAUCGACCCCUGCAGUGCCGAAGCUAACGCAUUAAGUGCCCCGCCUGGGGAGUACGGUCGCAAAGGCUGA
rnacentral:rRNA from 1 species